AUUGAACGCUGGCGGCAUGCCUUACACAUGCAAGUCGAACGGUACCUCUUGGCAACCUGGCGACGAGUGGCGAACGGGUGAGUAAUGCAUCGGAACGUGCCCGGUAGUGGGGGAUAACUGCUCGAAAGAGCAGCUAAUACCGCAUACGACCUGAGGGUGAAAGGGGGGGAUCGCAAGACCUCUCGCUAUCGGAGCGGCCGAUGUCGGAUUAGCUAGUUGGUGGGGUAAAAGCCCACCAAGGCAACGAUCCGUAGCUGGUCUGAGAGGACGACCAGCCACACUGGGACUGAGACACGGCCCAGACUCCUACGGGAGGCAGCAGUGGGGAAUUUUUGACAAUGGACGCAAGUCUGAUCCAGCCAUGCCGCGUGCGGGAAGAAGGCCUUCGGGUUGUAAACCGCUUUUGUCAGGGAAGAAAUCUUCUGAGUUAAUACCUCGGGAGGAUGACGGUACCUGAAGAAUAAGCACCGGCUAACUACGUGCCAGCCGCCGCGGUAAUAC
rnacentral:rRNA from 1 species